CAGAAAAGCAAAUCUGUCUCCGGCCCUUAGAAGUCAGAGGAAGGGUCGCCAACGGCUCCGCGGCACCGCGGGUGGGAAGGAGACAAGGGUGGCGCUCAAAGCUGACCCGCCCUUGCAGCUCCCCAAAACGGAAGCGAGGGCGCUUUUCGCCUGUGCACCGAGGGACGCCGUCCUCCGUUGCGAGGGGUUCUUUUCGUAACAGCUCUCAAGAGAAACAUCAGUGUACUAUGGCAGGCUCCUCUCAGCUUUAUAAGAAAAGUACAUUCCCUCCACUUUUGGAGUCUUACUUACCUCUGAAUUGCCAGAAUCAGGGCAAAGAUGGUUAAGAGGGCAGUGAUAUAUGUCUGAUAUCCUUCCACCCUACUCCUUUUUCUUUGACUUCAUAUUCACUCACAAAAUCUCAAUAGGUUUUGGACACAAGUUCAAAUAUGAGUACAAAUUCCUUUCAGGUGUUUUCAUGGAAUGGAAGGAUUUGAGAAAAGGAAAGUGCAUGGCGAACAGAGCAAAUUGGCAAAAACCAGAAAGAAACAAAAAGGAGCAGAUAAGGAACAACAGCCACAUUUUAAGUGAGGAAGAAAAGGAUAAACUCCUUAAGCAAGCUCUGCUUGAAAAGCAUCAUCUUGAAACCUACAAGAAUCUUUAUAAGAUAAGAAAUAUCUUAUAUGAACGCUACAAGACUUUAUUGAAUGAGAAAGUGCUAAAGCAACGAAUUCAGAUCAAGGCAUUUGAUCUGAAAGAUCAACAACUUAAGCACAAAGAACAAAAGUACACCCUUCGUCGUAAACUUCCUUUCUGCAAGCUGUCGCAUGAUACGAAGUACUUGGAGUCCGUGUCACAGUCAAACAGCUACUGGGUUACUGGAUUGCACAAUGAACUAACUAAACUUGGAAUCAUAAAGAACCAGCAAGAUUAUGAAAACUUUUGGAAAUUUGCUUGGGAGGAUAUUCCUGGCCCAAAGAUCAAGGAGAAGCUUCCUGAUAUAAAAGCAAGAAGCUGAGUAUCUUCAUAAUUUCUGGAAAUUAGAAUAAGAUUCAUCUCUACAGGAAAAGCAGACACCUAUUUUAUUUAUUCUUUCACUAGCCAAUAUUUUAAAUAAGGAAAUUGCUCCCUAGAAGAUCUUGUGAGCAUUUAUAAUCCUUAAAAUGCAAGAUUAAAACCAAGUUAAAUAAAUAAUAAAUUAAUUUGAAAUGCACAUAAUCUCACCAGCAAAGUGGCACCUACGAGAUGAGAAAUAUGGGUUGGACUAUAGAUACUAGCAAUUUCAUUUGUCCAAGUCACGCCAUCUUCCUUACUCUAUACCAAGGAUCUUCAAACUUGGCAAGUUUAAGACUUGUGGACUUCCUCAGCUAACAUGACUAGAGGAGGAAUUCUGGGAGUUGAAGACCACAAGUCUUAAAGCUGUCAAAUUUGAAGACCCCUGCUCUAUACAUAGACACAGCCAUGAGGAAAGCCCUGAAAUAUGCUCACUUCACUCAUCUUUGUCGGAAUUUUCUCAAAAUUUUCCCCCUCGAGAUGCAUUUACUUUAUAUCUUUUUUAUUUGAUUGAUUGAAUCUUAUGAUCAUCUAUCUCAAAAUAACAAGCAGACAAACAAUAAUAAACAGUAAAAAACUUACACUAGUUACCAAGAGAAAACCUAAAGAGAACAAUCAACAAAAUUCUUCCAUGAACCAACUAGCCUUCUUCAACACUUCACAAAAGGUCAGCAUGUUGAGGACUAAUCUAAUCUCUGGUUCUCAGAAAGCAGGUGGUAUGACAGAAAAUGCAUACUUCUUAAGUCCCAACAAUUGGGACUAAUUGAAAAACACAAUUAGUGAAAUUUGUAAUAAAACAGUUGUAUUAUCGGAAAUGUUCAGUUGAUAAAUUUUGUUUCAGCUGAUGAAAAUAAAUUUAGUUAUGCUAUUUAUGUCUGA
rnacentral:lncRNA from 1 species